CGAACUACGCUAAUGGAGGGCGGCCACGCCAAUCAGGAGCGUGCGUGCAGAAUCCACCAAUGGAGACUGGGCAGAGAAGGCGGAGACUUCGGGGGCGCGGGCGCUUGGUUAUUAAUGAAUGAAAGAGAGGGCUCCGGGGCUGUUGUCCACAGACUGAGGGAGCCUCCCUGCCCUCUACCAUUGUCCCUGAGCCAUUCAGCAGUAAAAUAUUACCAGAUUAGAAAAGAUGGACAGUUCCCAAACACCCUAUCAUCAUCUUGCUGUCAACUGAAAGCUUAGUGCAAAAAUCACAGGAUUCCUCCGAAAAUUGGAGGAUCUUGGACUGGAACCAUGGCUUGGACUACAAUUUGGAUCUGGGACUCUAACUCUUGGACUGCUUCUGUAAGUCUGCUCCUGGAUCUCCUCCCUUUGGACUGUGGCUUGGAGAAGAAAUAAAGAAAUGCACGUUCCUACUUUCCUUGAAGAGUUUGGAGAAAACUAUGGGUGUAGAGUUGUGUAUAAACCACUUUGAUCGAUUGGCCACUUCAGCAGAUGGGCCUGGACCUUCUGUUCUUAUUUGGGAUGGAGUUGGAACAUCACCACUACACAUACAACCCUCUCUCCCAUCCAAGAAAUACUGAAAUGUAAGCACAGUACUUGAAGUUGAGUGGGAAGAUCAGCCCGUGUUAGAUCUGAUCACCAAAGGUAUAAAUCUCCCACUUAAUCAUGAGGUGGGAGGUCUGUGACCCAUGUGUGCAAUAUCAACUAAUUGCUUUCUGGGAAGUCCUAGAGCAGAGCGCCUGCUAUGAUUGGUAGACGUGAAAUUUAGGGGAGGUGACACGAGAAAAAGUUCUUUAAAAAGAGAACCAGACUGGAGGGGAUGUGGCAAAGUGGGGACAUUAAUUCAUUGCUGGUGGAGUUGUGAAUUGAUCCAACCAUUCUGGAGGGCAAUUUGGAACUAUGCCCAAAGGGUACUGAAAGACUGUCUGCCCUUUGAUCCAGCCAUAGCACUGCUGGGUUUGUACCCCAAAGAGAUAAUAAGGAAAAAGACGUGUACAAGAAUUUUCAUAGCUGCGCUCUUUGUGGUGGCCAAAAACUGGAAAAUGAGGGGAUGCCCUUCAAUUGGGGAAUGGCUGAACAAAUUGUGGUAUAUGUUGGUGAUGGAAUACUAUUGUGCUAAAAGGAAUAAUAAAGUGGAGGAAUUCCAUGGAGACUGGAACAACCUCCAGGAAGUGAUGCAGAGCGAGAGGAGCAGAACCAGGAAAACAUUGUACACAGAGGCUGAUACAUUGUGGUACAAUCGAAGGUGAUGGACUUCUCCAUUAGUAUCAAUGCAAUCCCUGAACAAUCUGCAGGGAUCUAAAAAAAAAAAUACUACCCACAAGCAGAGGAUAAACUGUGGGAGUAAAAACACCGCUGAAAAGCAACUGCUUGACUACAGGGUUGGAGGAGAUAAGACUGAGGAGAGACUCUAAAUGAACACUAUAAUGCAAACUCCAACAACAGGGAAAUGGGUUCGAGUCAAGAACACAUGUGAUAACCAGUGGAAUCAUGCGUUGGCUAUGGGAGAGGGAAA